UACAGAGGGGGCAAGCGUUGUUCGGAAUUACUGGGCGUAAAGGGCGCGUAGGCGGCCUGCUAAGUCGAACGUGAAAUCCCUGGGCUCAACCCAGGAACUGCGUCCGAUACUGGUUGGCUUGAAUCCGGGAGAGGGAUGUGGAAUUCCAGGUGUAGCGGUGAAAUGCGUAGAUAUCGGAAGGAACAUCAGUGGCGAAAGCGGCUUCCUGGACCAGUACCGACGUUCAGGCACGAAAGCGUGGGGAGCAAACAGG
rnacentral:rRNA from 1 species